UGGAGCAGACCAGAGGAGAGCGCACUGCGUGUGCUUAGUAAAAAUUUAUGGGCCUAGUCUGGCAGAUGGAAAAGCUGAGAGGGAGCCAAGUAGCGGCACCAUUUGGCCAUUGUGACCGUUCCUAUUUUUCACACCCUUCCGGAGGGAUCCAAAUAAACUGACCUCAUUAACCAAUAGCACGAAGUUCUGUAGUUAAUUUUCGUUUUUCCAGGUCCUUUCACUAAUUUGAAUGGAUAAUUAAAAUGAUUUUUUUUUAACUUUCAAAUAGAUUUUAAUGCCGUUAAUGCGGAAAAGUACUUGCCUAACCAGUGGCAUGAAAGCUCUCAAUGCGAGAUUAACUAAAUCUGAUUACAAUUGGCAUAAUAGGACACACGGAAGGUAAGCAAAAAUAAAUAAAUUAAUUAAUUUAGACCAAGAGUCGAUGAUGGCAUAAAAUUGUUCAACGAUAAAGUUCAUUAAAAAUGCUGGAAUUAAAACGAAAAUAAUGCAUUCAA